rnacentral:rRNA from 1 species
GGGUGGAAAGUUUUUCGGUCAAGGAUGGACUCGCGGCCUAUCAGCUAGUUGGUGAGGUAAUGGCUCACCAAGGCGACGACGGGUAGCCGGCCUGAGAGGGUGACCGGCCACACUGGGACUGAGACACGGCCCAGACUCCUACGGGAGGCAGCAGUGGGGAAUAUUGCACAAUGGGCGAAAGCCUGAUGCAGCAACGCCGCGUGGGGGAUGACGGCCUUCGGGUUGUAAACCUCUUUUAGUAGGGAAGAAGGGCUUCGGCUUGACGGUACCUGCAGAAAAAGCACCGGCUAACUACGUGCCAGCAGCCGCGGUAAUACGUAGGGUGCAAGCGUUGUCCGGAAUUAUUGGGCGUAAAGAGCUCGUAGGCGGUUUGUCGCGUCUGCUGUGAAAACCCGAGGCUCAACCUCGGGCCUGCAGUGGGUACGGGCAGACUAGAGUGCGGUAGGGGAGAAUGGAAUUCCUGGUGUAGCGGUGGAAUGCGCAGAUAUCAGGAGGAACACCGAUGGCGAAGGCAGUUCUCUGGGCCGUUACUGACGCUGAGGAGCGAAAGCGUGGGGAGCGAACAGGAUUAGAUACCCUGGUAGUCCACGCCGUAAACGUUGGGAACUAGAUGUGGGGACCUUUCCACGGUCUCCGUGUCGCAGCUAACGCAUUAAGUUCCCCGCCUGGGGAGUACGGCCGCAAGGCUAAAACUCAAAGGAAUUGACGGGGGCCCGCACAAGCGGCGGAGCAUGCGGAUUAAUUCGAUGCAACGCGAAGAACCUUACCAAGGCUUGACAUAUACCGGAAACUUCCAGAAAUGGUUGCCCCGCAAGGUCGGUAUACAGGUGGUGCAUGGUUGUCGUCAGCUCGUGUCGUGAGAUGUUGGGUUAAGUCCCGCAACGAGCGCAACCCUCGUUCUAUGUUGCCAGCACGUCAUGGUGGGAACUCAUAGGAGACUGCCGGGGUCAACUCGGAGGAAGGUGGGGAUGACGUCAAAUCAUCAUGCCCCUUAUGUCUUGGGCUUCACGCAUGCUACAAUGGCCGGUACAAAGGGCUGCGAUACCGUAAGGUGGAGCGAAUCCCAAAAAGCCGGUCUCAGUUCGGAUUGAGGUCUGCAACUCGACCUCAUGAAGUCGGAGUCGCUAGUAAUCGCAGAUCAGCAACGCUGCGGUGAAUACGUUCCCGGGCCUUGUACACACCGCCCGUCAAGUCAUGAAAGUCGGUAACACCCGAAGCCAGUGGCCUAACCGCAAGGAGGGAGCUGUCGAAGGUGGGAUCGGUGAUUAGGACUAAGUCGUAACAAGGUAGCCGUACCGGAAGGUGCGGCUGGAUCACCUCCUUUCUAAGGA